AGGUUUUUCCUCAGGAGCUUCUCUCUGUCUCCACCCUCUUUCAGUUACACGCUAUUUGAUUUCCUCAUUCAUUCAGUCGUCAGACAAGUUUAGGCGAAGUCUAGUUCUGCCGUCUGUAAAUGUCAUGUCCUUUUAUGAGCGAUGCAGUGGAUGAAGGAGCAGCAUUACUGCGCAGAGAAUUAAAUAUUCGUCGGGAGAUUGUUAUCAGACCGCGCAUGGAUGUUCUCGCAUUUCCGGACAAUUAUCUUUUUGAGCGACAUCAACAGUAAGUUACUGCAGUCAGAGUCUAAGAAGCAGUGUCCUGUCAGUGUGUAAUAGCAGCAGCUUGCACCAACAAAGACGCCAGACUGUGAAGGAUGUAGGUGAAGAAGACUCUGCUCAUCAUGUCCUCAAGAUCCUUGUCAUCAGUGGAAAUGCACCACAGGAAGGCCACAAUACUGCCCAUGUGUCAGUCAUCGUCGAGGGAAAACAGGUUCUGGAUAACUGCAAAACUGUGGCAAAGGCUUGCCCUCUGCUCAUGGGCUUAAUCUACGCCAUGAACUUGAGUUACCCACCGAAACUGAAAUACACAUUUGAAGUGUUUCAGAAGCUGUUUCUUGAGCUGGAUGUUCUGAAAAUGUUGCCCAAGGUUCGGUCUUUGCAAAAAAAAAACUUCUACUGUGA